rnacentral:rRNA from 1 species
AGAGUUUGAUCAUGGCUCAGGGUAAACGCUGGCGGCGUGCCUAAAACAUGCAAGUCGCACGGACUCUUUCGGGGGUCAGUGGCAGACGGCUGAGUAACGCGUGGGUGACGUACCUGUAGGUGGGGAAUAACUGCCCGAAAGGGUGGCUAAUACCGCAUACGCCCUGGUCUUCGGUGACCAGGGGAAAGCCGCAAGGCGCCGAUGGAGCGGCCCGCGUCCGAUUAGCCAGUUGGUGGGGUAACGGCCUACCAAAGCGACGAUCGGUAGCUGGUCUUAGAGGAUGAUCAGCCAGACUGGGACUGAGACACGGCCCAGACUCCUACGGGAGGCAGCAGUUAGGAAUUUUGGGCAAUGGGCGCAAGCCUGACCCAGCAACGCCGCGUGGGUGACGAAGGCCUUCGGGUUGUAAAGCCCUUUUCUGAGGGAAGAUGAUGACGGUACCUCAGGAAGAAGCACCGGCUAACUACGUGCCAGCAGCCGCGGUAAUACGUAGGGUGCGAGCGUUGCCCGGAUUUAUUGGGCGUAAAGGGCGCGCAGGCGGCUCGGCACGUCCGUUGUGAAAUCGCCCGGCUCAACUGGGCGGGGUCAGCGGAUACGGUCGAGCUUGAGCAAGCCAGGGGGCAAUGGAAUUCCCGGUGUAGUGGUGGAAUGCGUAGAUAUCGGGAGGAACCCAGUGGCGAAGGCGGUUGCCUGGAGCUUUGCUGACGCUGAGGCGCGAAAGCGUGGGGAGCGAUCCGGAUUAGAUACCCUAGUAGUCC